AUCAUCAUCAUCAUCAUGCGUGACAUCACGCAAGGUGCGUUAACGCCACACUUUUGUUUUGCUUUUUCUUCGGCUUUUCAAUGGCUUCCAUCUCCCACUCCAACAUGGGUCUGCCAGAGAUCUUGUCAAGGUUUGGAACGCACUCAAAUACUCACCGGGCUGUGGUUGUCCAGCUGCAGAGGUUUCACAAGCUCCUUGCAGUCAGGUGCAGCCGGUUCAGCCACAGCACUCAAGGAGGUGAAGGCGAGCACGACGACCAGCAACUGUGCGGACAUGGCUGAAGACACCGGACCACCGCCGAGCGCAAUGACGUUACGAAGGCUGCCUGCAAGUUGUCCCUCACUGAUGUGUUGUAUAACAGAGGGCUGGAACACGCACACACACGCACACACACA